UGGGGAAUUUUCCGCAAUGGGCGAAAGCCUGACGGAGUGACGCCGCGUGUGGGACGAAGGCCUUCGGGUCGUAAACCACUGUCAGUGGGAAAGAAGAAUGUCGGUGCCAAUACCACCGGCAUUUGACGGUACCUGCAGAGGAAGCCCCGGCCAACUCUGUGCCAGCAGCCGCGGUAAGACAGAGGGGGCAAGCGUUGCUCGGAAUUACUGGGCGUAAAGGGCGCGUAGGCGGGAUGGCAAGUCGGUCGUGAAAUCCUUCGGCUCAACCGAAGAACGUCGAUCGAUACUGCUGUUCUUGAGGGUUGCAGAGGAGACUGGAAUUCCCGGUGUAGCGGUGAAAUGUGUAGAUAUCGGAAGGAACACCUGUGGCGAAAGCGGCUCACUGGACCAUAACUGACGCUGAGGCGCGAAAGCUAGGGGAGCAAACAGGAUUAGAUACCCUGGUAGUCCUAGCCCUAAACGAUGAUUGCUUGGUGUGACAGGUACCCAAUCCUGUCGUGCCGAAGCUAGCGCGAUAAGCAAUCCGCCUGGGGAGUACGGACGCAAGGCUGC
rnacentral:rRNA from 1 species